rnacentral:misc_RNA from 1 species
GAAAUGCGAUAAGUAGUGUGAAUUGCAGAAUUCCGUGAAUCAUCGAAUCUUUGAACGCACAUUGCGCCCUCUGGCAUUCCGGGGGGCAUGCCUGUCCGAGCGUCAUUACGCACCCUCAAGCCCGGCUUGUGUGAUGGGCCCCGGCGUCUCGUUCGCGAGACGGGCCCGAAAGGCAGCGGCGGCGUCGACCCGAUGAGCCCGAGCGUAUGGGGACUUCUGUCACACGUUCGCGGUGCGGACCGGCGCCUGCUUUGACUUUUCUGAUUAUCCAGGUUGACCUCGGAUCAGGUAGGGAUACCCGCUGAACUUAAGC